ACAGGGUUUAAAUGGGGGAGUAUUUGAGGACCUGCGCAAGCAUGUGUUUAACGCACAUUGGUUCUACAUUGGAAAAAUCUUGUGUACUUAUAUAAGGCCAUGGAAUCCAAAUAAAAUUUCUAGCUAGUCCUUUAGAACAUUAUAAAUGGUAUUAGAGCAACCCUUGCCCAAGACCCAUGUGGACAGAGGACACGGUAGCACAAGCCCUUUUGGGGGUCGACCAUAGGCUGAUCAUGGUAUCUGUGAUUGCAUUUGAAUCCUUAGCCUAGAAAGGAUGCCAGAGCUUAAAUAGAGGAAGUAUAUAAGGACCUGUGCAAGCGUGUUUGAUUAUACAUUGAAAAGAUCUUGGAUACUUAUAUAGGGCCAAGAAAUCCGAAUAAUAACUUUUAGUUAGCCCUUUUGGGUGAGGUCCUAGGUCGUUACAUUGUAAAUCCUAGAUAUGUUCAACAAAGUUAGUUAUCAUUUUUUCCAAUAUAUACUUUGGUAUCUUUGAGAUCAUGUUGGUGAAAGCUUGCUAAAUUAUAUUUUCUUGAGCAUUAUGCCACUAGUGGCUGUUAACAUAUUGUAGGACAACUAGAGCUUGCUCUUUUCUAAGAAUGAAAAAAGAGAGGAAAAGAAAAUGAUAAAUGAAAAUUUUUCUUAUUUGGGUUUGAGAGUUUCCUUUGUCCUAUCACUGGCAAUUUUCCAUGUCACU
rnacentral:lncRNA from 1 species